rnacentral:rRNA from 1 species
UACGAAGGGAGCUAGCGUUGUUCGGAAUCACUGGGCGUAAAGCGCACGUAGGCGGAUGUGUCAGUCAGGGGUGAAAUCCCGGAGCUCAACUUCGGAACUGCCUUUGAUACAGCACGUCUUGAGUCCGAUAGAGGUGGGUGGAAUUCCUAGUGUAGAGGUGAAAUUCGUAGAUAUUAGGAAGAACACCGGUGGCGAAGGCGGCCCACUGGAUCGGUACUGACGCUGAGGUGCGAAGGCGUGGGGAGCAAACAGG